rnacentral:lncRNA from 1 species
GGGCCUCUGCCUCCCCCGCCUGUCAGGAGGGUUUUAGUUGAUGGCACACCUGUGUAGACACAGGAGGUCUGGGGACAGCUGCAUUCUGUUUAUUUAUUUUUCAUUUUGUUGUAAGUUUUUUUGCGACUUUGUUUUUUCUAAUCUUGAGGACCAGGUACAGUAGCUGAAGCCCACUGAGACCCACCGUAGGAUUCUCUGAGUACAUACCUCUGUCCUAGAAGCCAAGAAAGGAGUGAGAAGAAGCGGGGAGGCCACCUAGUGGUAGACUCGGUCAGACAGUCUGUGGCUGCAGCCUGUGUAGGUUGCACCCCUAUAUGAAGAUGGUCAGGCUCAGCCCCGAGCUGGAGGCAAGGACCUUCAUCACUUCUCUAUACAGUCACAUGGAAAUACCUUUUCUAGAGAAUUCUUACAGAAAGCCAGGUCUCUCCUUUCAUUAGAUCAAAAGGGACUCGUGUACAUAUCACAACCAAAGUGUUUGCUCACGAAACCAGUUACAAACACAGUGAAUUUUUUCUGGACCAUAGGAAUAUUGUUUCAAAGAAAUAGUGCAACUCAACCGUUACAUCAGUACUUGAAGCUGAGCCUCUAUGUGGGACUUUAAAAAAAAAAAAAAAAGCCUUUUUAAAGCAUUCGCAGCUGAUUGAAGUAUUCUUGACUCCCUGUCCCAGACCUUAGGGUUGACUUUGAAACCCUGUUUCUAGCCCUUAUGUCGUAUGUUUCUGUCUGUGGGUGGUGGGUGUAGACCGGCUUCCCAGAGCCUCCUGACAGGCCCGGCACUGAGCCCGGCUCCCGUGGGAGAGUCAUGCAAACUAAGUUCUUCCAAGAGACUUUCAUGUCCUGGUUAUUAACAAAGAAAAGGAAAAAAAUGUAAUAAUUGAUAUGGUUUUGUAAAAGUAUUUUUCUUGAGAUAAUCUAACGUUUAAAACAUUAUAUUAACAUGUGGUGGGGAUGUGAAAGCAGAGAAAUAACUUGUACAUGGGUGACUGUUCUCUGUCUCACCAACUGGGGGGGUUGCUUUCCAAUGUAUAGCUUAAAAAAUCUGAUAUAUCAAACCGUUUGUAUCUAACGUGUACAGUGUAAAAUUGACUUAAAAUAUCGCAGUGCUAUUUUUUCUUAUCAGCGAGGAAAUCCUCAAGGCCUUUUGAAGAGCGUAAGAUGACGGAGAUGUAAACUUGUAUAAAGUCACCUCGGGGAGGACGGGCUGUAAACUAGAUAUUUGUAAUCUUUACCACUUGGGAUUGCUUCCUCUCAGAGUUCACCAGAACUUUGAAUUUCUCUCUCUCUCUCUCUUUUUUAAAUGGGCUGUUUUUACUGCAGGGGCUUUUCUUCCCUAGAAACCCAACUCUACGCAGAAAAAG